CCUACGGGGGGCUGCAGUAGGGAAUCUUCCGCAAUGGACGAAAGUCUGACGGAGCAACGCCGCGUGAGCGAAGAAGGUCUUCGGAUCGUAAAGCUCUGUUGUUAGGGAAGAACAAGUACGGGAGGAAAUGACCGUACCUUGACGGUACCUAACGAGGAAGCCACGGCUAACUACGUGCCAGCAGCCGCGGUAAUACGUAGGUGGCAAGCGUUAUCCGGAAUUAUUGAGAGUAAAGCGGGCGCAAGCGUUAUUUUAAGUAUGGGGCGAAAUCUUGCGGCUGAGCCUGAAUCGGUCAUUGGAAACUAGUAGACUUGAGUGAUGAAGAAGAAAGCGAAAUACAGCGAGUAGCGGUGUAAUGCGUCGAACUGUGGAGGAGCGCUAGUGGAGAAGGCGGCUUUCUGGUCUGUAACUGACGCUGACGCGCGAAAGCGUGGGGAGCAAACAGGAAGAGAUGCCCCAGUAGUC
rnacentral:rRNA from 1 species